ACCAUAGCGUCUUGAGCAGCUAAAAUCUAAAAGAGAAAAAUCUAUAAGACGCCUUCGAUGAAAUAGUAUCGGUGAAGAUUCAUAAUGGAUUUUGAAUCGUCGGGGCAUAUUCCGGACUGUGAUAACUCAAGAAAAAAAAAGAACAUUGGGCACUCUUUCACAAUUAUCGGACAAACUUUUGGAGCCAGUAGCACCAUUGUCAGACGGAGAUUGGGAGCCUUCGAGGAAUUCGAUGGAAAUUGUAUCGUCGUUGAAAGUGGCAUUGUGAAUAAUUGGUGGAGCGUUGUCGACUCUCGGUGACAUUGGUGUCGAUGAAAAAACCAUUUGGUGGUCCGUCCUUGUAAUGUUUGUAAUUCAUCGCGAGAUUCUGAGCGAAAUUUCCAC